rnacentral:lncRNA from 1 species
UUAAGUUUAAUUGAUUUGUAAUCAAGUCUGAUGUUGUAAGUAUGAUGUAGAAGUACACCCAAGGUGCUAUGGGGCUGCAUUAUUUUCAAGGAUCAUUGCAUGUUGUGUGGUUAGUAGUACCGUUGAGUUGCUAGGUGGAGAAAGACUAGUUAGAUAAUAUGUGAUGUUCUUGAUAGCUAAGUUAUGGAGUUAUGAUUAAUAAUGUUGAGCCUUUUUGUAUAAU